rnacentral:rRNA from 1 species
AGUGAACGCUGGCGGUAGGCCUAACACAUGCAAGUCGAACGGCAGCACAGUAAGAGCUUGCUCUUACGGGUGGCGAGUGGCGGACGGGUGAGGAAUACAUCGGAAUCUACUUUUUCGUGGGGGAUAACGUAGGUAAACUUACGCUAAUACCGCAUACGACCUACGGGUGAAAGCAGGGGAUCUUCGCACCUUGCGCGAUUGAAUGAGCCGAUGUCGGAUUAGCUAGUUGGCGGGGUAAAGGCCCACCAAGGCGACGAUCCGUAGCUGGUCUGAGAGGAUGAUCAGCCACACUGGAACUGAGACACGGUCAAGACUCCUACGGGAGGCAGCAGUGGGGAAUAUUGGACAAUGGGCGCAAGCCUGAUCCAGCCAUACCGCGUGGGUGAAGAAGGCCUUCGGGUUGUAAAGCCCUUUUGUUGGGAAAGAAAAGCAGCAGGUUAAUACCACGCUGUUCUGACGGUACCCAAAGAAUAAGCACCGGCUAACUUCGUG